CUUUAAAGAAUUAAAUUCGCUUUCCACCAAAUACGGCCUAGUUAAUUAGUGAAAAAUCAAGUGUUGUUAAUUGAAUUUUUCUGUGUUUCCGUUUCAUCCCUACCACAUACUCGAUUCACAUGUUAUACAAUUUUGAUCAAACAGGAUACUGGUAUUGCACAAUAAAAGUCAAACCUAUGCAUGUAUUUGAUUUUUUCCGGAAUUUCGCCUCCCUUUUGAACUUUGGGGAGAUAUUUCUAAUAUAGCGCAUUCCUCGCUGAUAGAUUUUUAAAGUUUAAAUAAAUAAUGAAAUUCCCCAAAACAAAUUUCCGACAAAAAAGUUAUCAGCGACGUAUGCGCUGUUAUCGAAAUUAAACCGUUUGACAUUUAGCGGGAAGAAGAGAAAUUGUCGUCUGUUCCGUUUAUGAACAGAGUAAAAUACACGGUUGAUGUCUGUGCCUGCUAUAGAUGUUUCCUGAGCUUUAAAUCAUAAGACAAGACUGUGAAACUCUUCAUGACUAUAGUGUGAGAUUCCUUUGUGAUGGUUGUCUGGAAUUGAACCCCUUAAUGAAGACUGAAUUUAGUUGAAAGGUGAAACUCUUCAAGACUAUAGUGUGAGAUUCCUUUGUGAUGGUUGUCUGGAAUUGAACAAGACAUUUAAACAGACCACCCUUAAUGAAGACUUAAUUUUUUUGUGUGGUGAAACUCUUCAAGACUAUAGUGUGAGAUUCCUUUGUGAUGGUUGUUUGGAAUUGAACCCCUUAAUGAAGACUGAAUUUAGUUGAGAGGUGAAAUUCUUCAUGACUAUAGUUUGAGAUUCCUUUGUGAUGGUUCUUUGGAAUUGAACUAGACAUUUAAACAGACUACCCUUUAUGAUGACUUAAUUUAGUUGAAAGGUA